ensembl:lncRNA
GGAAGAGCGAAUGAACUGAGUUUUUAUUUACUUUCAGUUUAUAUAAAUACAAAUUUAAAUAACCACAUAUGGUUAGUGGCUACCAUAUUGGAUAGCCCAAGUUCAUAUGGCUAGCCAAGAUCAGAAGUAAGGAUCCAAUCCCAGAAAUUAUCUGGCUCCAAAAUCAUGCUUUAAAUAUUAAAAUACUAGGAUAGGCAUGGCAACUCACACCUUUAAUCCCAGCAGUUUGACAGCCUGAGGUGGGAGGAUGGCUUGAGCUAAGGAGUUUGAGACCAGCCUGGACAACAAAGUGAGACUCUGCCUCUUCAAAAAAACUUAAAAAAAAAAAAAAAAAAAAAGAGCCAGGUCUGGUGGUACACACCUGUAUUCCCAGCUACAGUGCAGGCUGAAGGAGGAGGCUCAUGUGAACCUGGGAAGUUGAGGUUGCAGUGAGUCAUAAUAGCACCACCACACUCCAGCUUGAGUGACAGAGCAAGCCCUUAUGUCAAAAAAAAAAAAAAAAAAAAAAGGGUAGUACUAGUUGUGAUGGUGUACCCUAAAGAAUGUUAUCAUGUUUGCAUCAUUAGAGCUUCCCAGUUAGAGUGCUUACAACUCCUUUCUUGUCUAUAAGCCUAGAAGAGCAUAAUGCGUGUCCCCUAGCAAUCUACCACUGAAACUACUAUUUGUGUAGGCAGUGCUGUCUACUAUGGACAUUUUAGUAUUAGAACUCCCUGGUGAUGCCCAGUAAGCUAACCAAAUGUGGAGGGAAGAAGCAAAGCUGGUAGAAAACGAUUGGUGCUGGAUAUUUUUGAUUUGUCCCUCCAGAUUCACUCUCCAUUUUUAUCUACUCUGUUCUGGUCUCAGGGAGCUGAUACUCUAUGGACCACUUCCUUACCCCCUGGCUUCUGGUUGGAUCCAGCCAGUGAAAGACUCUGGUGGGAACUGGAAAGACCAUACAAGAAGCAUGGUGCCAAUAUCUGCAUCUGGUGAAGACCUCAGGCUGCUUCCACUCAUGGUGGAAAGUGAAGGGGAGCUGGUGUGUGCAGAGAUCAUAUGGUAAGAGAUCAUAUGGUAAGUAAGGGAGAGCAGGGGAAGGUCCCAGGCUCUUUUGAGACAUCCGACUCUCUUGAAAACUGAUCGAGUGAUAACUCACUCAUCCCUGAAGGAGAGCAUUAAUCAGUUUGUGGGAGACCCACUCCCAUGACCUAAACACCUUCCAUUAGGCCCCACCUCCAACACUGGUGAUCAAAUUUUAACAUGAGGUUUAGAGAGGACAAAUAUCAAAACCAUAGCACAAGACGAAUUUCUUCCUCAUGUUCUUAUCAUGCUUGACCUAACUCUCUCCAUUCGUUCAGCUUUUCAUGAUUACAACUCUGAUUCUAUAUAUUAAUAUGCCCUAACUAUAGAAUGAGGUGAGAAAGUGGGCACAAACAGGCAAUGAAGGAAGAGUAACUUAAAAUACAACAUGCUGCUAAGAAGUGGGGGGGAAAAAAAAAAAGUCAACUACAUUUUGUGCCACAAUGGAAUAAUAAAAUAUAAAAAUCAACCAAAUGCAACUAUUUCAACUUAAGUGAAUUUCAAUCAACGUAGUUUGUGUGUAUAGUCAGGGCUUCAAUUUCUUAAACUAAAGAAAUGUCAAUAUGUAGGACUAGAUAUAAAAUAAGCCAAAUAUUAAACCAGGCGCAGUGGCUCACGCCUGUAAUCCCAGCACUUUGGGAGGCCAAGGCAAGCAGAUCACUUGGGUUCAGGAGUUCCAGACCAGCCUGGGCAACAUGGCAAGACCCUGUCUCUACCAAAAAAGAUAGAAAAUUAGAUAAAAAUGACUCUUCUUUUUCCUUUACUUCACAUAGAAAAAAAACUAAAAGCAUUUACAAAAUAUCUUAGACUCUCAUCAAGCUAGAUAUUUCUUGCUUAUACUGAGGAAAAAAAUCACACUCAGAAUAGUCUUAAUCAAGGAUCAUAGGUAGCUCUAGACUAGAAAUUUUGAACUGUAAAAAAGAUAUUAAAAUGUGACUUUUAAUUAGAUCAGAAAUGAACUCUAAUACUCUUCACAUCUUCAGAAAUGACACCUUUUAUUCCUCCAGUAAUUGAGGUGUCAAAGGGCAAUUUGAGGCUACUCAAAAAGAUUCAGAGUCUGGUUUUGUUAACCACUAAGCUAAUUACUGUUACAAAAUGAAAAUUACCAGACACCACCGAAUUGUUGACAGGUCAAAAAAACAUUCUUAAGAAAUCCUGGAGUUUAAACUGGUGAUAUUCAGGCUUUCAAUAUUUAUUUUGUAGCUUUAUUUUUUUUAUUUCUUUGAGGCAGGAUCUUGCUUUGUCACCUAGGCUGGAGUACAGUGACACAAUCAUAGCUCACUGCACCCUGCGCCCAUGAACUCCUGGGCUCAAGUGAUCCCCCUGCCUCAACCUUCUGAGUAGCUGGGGCUAUAGGUGCACACCACUACGCAGAGCUCAUUUUUGUAUUUUUUGCAGAGAUGGGGUCUUGCUAUGUUGCCCUG